GUGGGGAUCUUGGAGGUCUGUUCCAACCUUUGUGAUUCCGUGGUUCUGUUUAGGGCCAAGUCACAGGAUGGGUUGGGGUUGGAUUUGGGGAUCUUGGAGGUCUUUCCAACUAUAAUGAUUCUAUGGCUCUGUUUAGGGCCAAGUCAGUGGACACAGCGGGAUGGGUUGGGGUUGAGUUUGGGGAUCUCAGGUUCCUUUUCCAACCAUAAUGACUUCAUCGUUCUGUUUAGGGACGGGGUCGUUGGGGGUGGUGUGUUGGGUUGGAUCUGGGGAUCUUGGAGGUCUGUUCCAACCUUUGUGAUUCCGUGGCUCUGUUUAGGGCCAAGUCAGGGGAUGGGUUGGGGUGGGAUUUGGGGAUCUUGGAGGUCUUUCCAACCUUUGUGAUUCCGUGGUUCUGUUUAGGGCCAAGUCAGUGGGUGGGUUGGGGAUCUUGAAGGGAUCUUUUCCAACCUUCACCGUUCUGUGGCUGCCUGGCAGUGCUGGGCCGUGUCUGCAAAAGCAUUUCCCCUGCCAGGAUCACUCUCCUCUCUCCUGUUUUCGAACCCCCCGCGAUCACAGCUGGGAGCGCCGUUGCUGCUGAUGGAGGACAAACGUCCUUCGCUCCCCGCGCACCGCUUGCUGUCCUUCAAACUGCCUCCCAGAAGGGCUCGUUGCAGAGGAUGGAGCUCUCCGUUUGCCCUCGCCGAAGCCCUGGCUCUGCUCUCACACAUCCUCU